UCCCUGGUGGUCUAGUGGUUAAGACUCAGCACUUUCACUGUUGGAGCCCUGGUUGAAUCCCUGGGCUGGGAA
rnacentral:tRNA from 1 species